AGGACGAACGCUGGCGGCGUGCUUAACACAUGCAAGUCGAACGGGAUCCAUCAAGCUUGCUUGGUGGUGAGAGUGGCGAACGGGUGAGUAAUGCGUGACCAACCUGCCCUGUACUCUGGAAUAGCUCCUGGAAACGGGUGGUAAUGCCGGAUGCUCCACAUGAGUGCAUGCCUGUGUGGGAAAGGGUUUACCGGUAUGGGAUGGGGUCGCGUCCUAUCAGCUUGACGGCGGGGUAAUGGCCCACCGUGGCUUUGACGGGUAGCCGGCCUGAGAGGGCGACCGGCCACAUUGGGACUGAGAUACGGCUCAGACUCCUACGGGAGGCAGCAGUGGGGAAUAUUGCACAAUGGGGGGAACCCUGAUGCAGCGACGCCGCGUGCGGGAUGACGGCCUUCGGGUUGUAAACCGCUUUUGAUUGGGAGCAAGCGUUAAGUGAGUGUACCCUUUCGAAUAAGCGCCGGCUAACUACGUGCCAGCAGCCGCGGUAAUACGUAGGGCGCCAGCGUUGUCCGGAAUUAUUGGGCGUAAAGGGCUCGUAGGCGGCUCGUCCCGUCUGGUGUGAAAGUCCAUCGCUUAACGGUGGAUUCUGCUCCGGGUACGGGCGGGCUGGAGUGCGGUAACGGAGACUGGAAAUUCCCGGUGUAACGGUGAAAUGUGUACAUAUCGGGAGGAACCCCAAUGGCGAAGGGCAGGUCUUUGUGCCGUUACUGACGCUGAGGAGCGAAAGCGUGGGGGAGCGAACAGGAUUAGUUACCCUGGUAGUCCGCGCCGUAAACGGGGGACGCUGGAUGUGGGGCCCAUUCCACGGGUUCCGUGUCGGAGGUAACGCGUAUAAGCGUCCCGCCUGGGGAGUACGGCCGCAAGGCUAAAACUCAAAGGAAUUGACGGGGGCCCGCACAAGCGGCGGAGCAUGCGGAUUAAUUUGAUGCAACGCGAAGAACCUUACCUGGGCUUGACAUGUUCCCGGCGACAUCAGAGAUGGUGUUUCCCUUCGGGGCGGGUUCACAGGUGGUGCAUGGUCGUCGUCAGCUCGUGUCGUGAGAUGUUGGGUUAAGUCCCGCAACGAGCGCAACCCUCGCCCCGUGUUGCCAGCACGUCAUGGUGGGAACUCACGGGGGACCGCCGGGGUUAACUCGGAGGAAGGUGGGG
rnacentral:rRNA from 1 species